GGCACAUGGCAUUAUUUAAUGAUGAUGUUGGCAUGGUUCUGGAUGAAGAGGCAGAAGUGUUCAUAGUGAAAAUGUGGAGGCUGUUGAUUUACGAAACGGAGGCGAAGAAGAUCGGACUCGCGAAAUAAAGACCGCUCGUUUCUCCGUCCGACUCCCUUUUUAAAUCCCAGAUCUGCUGCCCACAGACUGUAAACACAUCACACCCUCCAUCCCAUCAGCAAGGACCAGCCUUCUGUGUGUGUGUGUGUGUGUAAGAGUAUGUGUAAGAGUGUGUGUGUGUGUGUGUGUGUGUGAGUCUUUGGAAGGGAGAGUGUCAGCUGUGGACAGAAAGGGAUUGCUCAAACAUACUGCAUGAUGAAACUUUGGUUGUUUUGUUCCUUUGUUGAUGCUGUUUGAGGCAGGAGACAGUUGCUACCCCCCCCUCCCCACACACACACACACACACACACUUGGUUCUGCAACACGUUGGACUCUGCUUUGAUUUACUGUCGUCCUGUUGAGGCUCCGUUGUGUGAACUGAUAAUAAAUAUGCUUUUUUUUAA